rnacentral:lncRNA from 1 species
CGCGUUCGGUACGCCACGAGAAAGGGGCUUUUGUCCCGACGAGUAAAGCUCGGUGAGUUGUGCGGAGCUCUCUGGAGGCAGCAAGGGGAAGAAAUGACAACCAGAAGGAAACCGGAGGUGGAUGCAAGGGAUGCAUCGUUGUGGAACAGAAAAUUGGUUCUCCAAACAAACUGCUCCAAGUGGAGUGCUUUAUCUCUCUGAAAGGGAACGUCGCACAUCUCGGGGUCGUCUUAAAGAGAAACAGAAGAUGCAGAGGAGUACAUCCGAGAAAAGCACUUUAUUCCCUCAGCACAGAUUGACUCCCCAGGUCCCACCUGGAGCAGAACUUUCCCUGCAGUUCCCCCAGCACAGCUCUGGUACAUCCGUGCAGGAUUGGACUUACUGAGGGGUUUGCCUUCAUUUCUCCUUCUGCCCACUUUGGGGUGCCCGCAUUACCUGCAGCCACACGUCCUGCAUUGCUGCCUUGCCUCUGUUGUACCGCAUUCUGCUGAAAAAUACAUAGAAUGAAAAUGAUUUCCCACUUGUAAGGGCAGAAUAA